AAAUUAUUUAGGAGAAAAGGUGAAUUUGAAUUAGUGAGAUGGUAUUGGAUUUAAUUGAAAAUAGUAAAUAAAUUGAUUAAUUAAGUUAAUUUAGUGUUAGGAUUAAGUUGAAACUUAUAUUUAAGGAAUGGGCUAAAAAUAGAGUUGAAUUAAUAUGUGGUUUAAGUGGAGAAAAUAUAUUGAUUGGUAUUUUUGUAAAUAAUGGUGUUAAUAGGCGCAUUAUGGUGGUUAAAUAAAUAAAAUUGUAUUUAUAAUAAUUAUAAUUUGGCCCAAAAGCAUUAACUGAAACAAUAAAAGCUUGAGGGUCUAAUAAGAAUAUUUCAAGGGCAAAGAUAAUAAAAAAAUGAAAGAAAGAAGAAAAAAGGGGUUUGGAGUUAAAAGUGCUAAUUUUCAAAAUGUAAAGACUAAGUUAUACUUUAGUAGCAUGUGGGGGCGUGGCAUCAUGGUUACCAUUCAACUAGAUAUUUCUAGCUAUUUUAAAAUAAAAUAAUAGAACCAAUUAUUGUUUAUCACAUAUUCUAUGUCAUAUAGGCAAAAUGACUAGUCAAUUAUCAAAGUGAGCCAAUAUUUCUUUUCUCCAUUUUGUAUAUCCCGAAAAAGAAAGAAGGAUAUAAGGAAAGAAGAAAAUAAGAUAGUGAAGAGAGCCGGUGGGUUAUAUGCGAAAAAAGAAAAAAUUAUGAUAUUAAAAUUGUAGGACAAUUUUGAUGUAUACAAUUCUUCAUUUCCAACCAUUUCGAUUUUUGGAAGAUUAUUGUGGAGAAAUAUCUGUCUGGUGUUAUGCAGGAUGUUAAGAGUUGGAACAUAAUAGAAGCAGUAAUAAUAGCAGUUAGAGCUUCGUAUUGCUAGAUUCCCCAGUCUGAGAAAAUAAAAAUAGAAAAUUUGAUAAUUAGUGCUAGUUCGGGCAGUGCCGUUACACAAUAGUUCUAGCUAGGCCUUUUGACGCCAUCAACUUCGUCUGAUGUUGGCAACAAAGAUGGUGUUUACAAUGAGGGAAGAAGGUGGGUUUUGAGUAAAAGUGCUUAUGGUUUCAAACAGUGUUUUGAUUAAGAGAAUGAGUACGGUGGUAGGUAUGAGGUUGGUUCCAGAAGAGUGAUUUUCAUGUGCUGGUUUAUGAUUUUACAGGGUUUUUAUAGUGGGAGUAUGGCAUAGUGGCAGAGUGCUAAAAAUUUGGAAGCUAGAUUUAGAAAUAAAAAAAGAAAUGAAGUGAUUAAAUUUUAA